CACCGGCAGCUCUAGUGGUAGCAAUUUUUAUUGGGCCCUAAAGCGUCCGUAGCCGGUUUAAUAAGUCUCUGGUGAAAUCCUGUAGCUUAACUGUGGGAAUUGCUGGAGAUACUAUUAGACUUGAGACCGGGAGAGGUUAGAGGUACUCCCAGGGUAGAGGUGAAAUUCUGUAAUCCUGGGAGGACCGCCUGUUGCGAAGGCGUCUAACUGGAACGGUUCUGACGGUGAGGGACGAAAGUUAGGGGCGCGAACCGGAUUAGAUACCCCCGUAGUCC
rnacentral:rRNA from 1 species